AAUCCGAUUUAGAAAUCUCGUAUGAGAAGAAAAAGAACACCCCGGUAGCUAGAAUGGAACACGCAGGGCAGGGAUCUAGAGGUCUCCCAAGAAGGGCUCGCUUAGCUAGCGAAAAGUAUGAAGAGGCGCAGAAGCAGAGCAUUCAUUGACUAAGGAAACAAGGGAUUUACUACGAGAUCCCUAUCUCAUGGGUGAUGGACGAACUGGUAUCGAUGCAUGGAACACUGAAUCCCCGAUGGAACAACACCAA
rnacentral:lncRNA from 1 species